rnacentral:rRNA from 1 species
CAGUCGCCGCGGUAAUACGAAGGGGGCUAGCGUUGCUCGGAAUUACUGGGCGUAAAGGGCGCGUAGGCGGACAGUUAAGUCGGGGGUGAAAGCCCGGGGCUCAACCUCGGAAUUGCCUUCGAAACUGGCUGUCUUGAGUACGGGAGAGGUGAGUGGAACUCCGAGUGUAGAGGUGAAAUUCGUAGAUAUUCGGAAGAACACCAGUGGCGAAGGCGACUCACUGGCCCGUUACUGACGCUGAGGCGCGAAAGCGUGGGGAGCAAACAGGAUUAGAUACCCCUGUAGUCCCUGUCUCUUAUAC